rnacentral:rRNA from 1 species
AGUAACUGUUGACAUCGUGACGGUAUCCAACCAGAAAGCCACGGCUAACUACGUGCCAGCAGCCGCGGUAAUACGUAGGUGGCAAGCGUUGUCCGGAUUUAUUGGGCGUAAAGCGAGCGCAGGCGGUUUUUUAGGUCUGAUGUGAAAGCCUUCGGCUUAACCGGAGAAGUGCAUCGGAAACCGGGAGACUUGAGUGCAGAAGAGGACAGUGGAACUCCAUGUGUAGCGGUGAAAUGCGUAGAUAUAUGGAAGAACACCAGUGGCGAAGGCGGCUGUCUGGUCUGCAACUGACGCUGAGGCUCGAAAGCAUGGGUAGCGAACAGGAUUAGAUACCCUGGUAGUCCACGCCGUAAACGAUGAGUGCUAAGUGUUGGAGGGUUUCCGCCCUUCAGUGCUGCAGCUAACGCAUUAAGCACUCCGCCUGGGGAGUACGACCGCAAGGUUGAAACUCAAAGGAAUUGACGGGGGCCCGCACAAGCGGUGGAGCAUGUGGUUUAAUUCGAUGCUACGCGAAGAACCUUACCAGGUCUUGACAUCUUCUGCUAACCUAAGAGAUUAGGCGUUCCCUUCGGGGACGGAAUGACAGGUGGUGCAUGGUUGUCGUCAGCUCGUGUCGUGAGAUGUUGGGUUAAGUCCCGCAACGAGCGCAACCCUUAUUGUCAGUUGCCAGCAUUUAGUUGGGCACUCUGGCGAGACUGCCGGUGACAAACCGGAGGAAGGUGGGGAUGACGUCAAAUCAUCAUGCCCCUUAUGACCUGGGCUACACACGUGCUACAAUGGACGGUACAACGAGUCGCGAAACCGCGAGGUCAAGCUAAUCUCUUAAAGCCGUUCUCAGUUCGGAUUGCAGGCUGCAACUCGCCUGCAUGAAGUUGGAAUCGCUAGUAAUCGUGGAUCAGCAUGCCGCGGUGAAUACGUUCCCGGGCCUUGUACACACCGCCCGUCACACCAUGAGAGUUUGUAACACCCAAAGCCGGUGAGGUAACCUUCGGGGGCCAGCCGUCUAAGGUGGGACAGAUGAUUAGGGUGAAGUCGUAACAAGGUAGCCGUAGGAGAACCUGCGGCUGGAUCACCUCCUUUCUAA